CCUACGGGGGGCAGCAGUGAGGAAUAUUGGUCAAUGGACGAGAGUCUGAACCAGCCAAGUAGCGUGAAGGAUGACUGCCCUAUGGGUUGUAAACUUCUUUUAUAAAGGAAUAAAACUGAGCACGUGUGCCUUUUUGCAUGUACUUUAUGAAUAAGGAUCGGCUAACUCCGUGCCAGCAGCCGCGGUAAUACGGAGGAUCCGAGCGUUAUCCGGAUUUAUUGGGUUUAAAGGGAGCGUAGAUGGGUUGUUAAGUCAGUGGUGAAAGUUUGCGGCUUAACCGGAAAAUUGCAAUUGAUACUGGCAGUCUUGAGUAUAGUUGCGGUAGGCGGAAUGCGUGGUGUAGCGGUGAAAUGCUUAGAGAUCACGAAGAACCCCGAUUGCGAAGGCAGCUUACUAAGCUGUGACUGACAUUGAGGCUCGAAAGUGUGGGUAGCAAACAGGAUUAGAUACCCGAGUAGUC
rnacentral:rRNA from 1 species